rnacentral:rRNA from 1 species
UACGUAGGGACCAAGCGUUGUUCGGAAUUACUGGGCGUAAAGCGCACGUAGGCGGCUUUUGCAAGUUAGAGGUGAAAGCCCGGGGCUCAACUCCGGAAAUUGCCUUUUAAGACUGCAUCGCUAGAAUUGUGGAGAGGUGAGUGGAAUUCCGAGUGUAGAGGUGAAAUCGUAGAUAUUGGAAGAACACCAGUGGCGAAGGCGACUCACUGGACACAUAUUGACGCUGAGGUGCGAAAGCGUGGGGGAGCAAACAGGG